rnacentral:rRNA from 1 species
CCUACGGGGGGCAGCAGUAGGGAAUAUUGCUCAAUGGGGGAAACCCUGAAGCAGCAACGCCGCGUGGAGGAUGAAGGUUUUCGGAUUGUAAACUCCUUUUGUUAGAGAAGAUAAUGACGGUAUCUAACGAAUAAGCAACGGCUAACUCCGUGCCAGCAGCCGCGGUAAUACGGAGGGUGCAAGCGUUACUCGGAAUCACUGGGCGUAAAGGGCGCGUAGGCGGGAUAGCAAGUCAGAUGUGAAAUCCUAUGGCUUAACCAUAGAACUGCAUUUGAAACUGUUAUUCUAGAGUAUGGGAGAGGUAGGUGGAAUUCUUGGUGUAGGGGUAAAAUCCGUAGAGAUCAAGAGGAAUACUCAUUGCGAAGGCGACCUGCUAGAACAUAACUGACGCUGAUGCGCGAAAGCGUGGGGAGCAAACAGGAUUAGAUACCCCAGUAGUC